UACGGAGGGUGCGAGCGUUAAUCGGAAUUACUGGGCGUAAAGAGCGCGUAGGCGGCUUGAUAAGCCGGUUGUGAAAGCCCCGGGCUCAACCUGGGAACGGCAUCCGUAACUGUCAGGCUAGAGUGCAGGGGAGGAAGGUAGAAUUCCAGGUGUAGCGUUGAAAUGCGUAGAGAUCGGGAGGAAUACCAGUGGCGAAGGCGGCCUGCUGGGCUGACACUGACGCUGAGGGGCGAAAGCGUGGGUAGCAAACAGG
rnacentral:misc_RNA from 1 species